rnacentral:rRNA from 1 species
UAAAGCAUCCGUAGCCGGUUGUUUAAGUUUUCGGUUAAAUCUAUGCGCUUAACGUAUAGGCUGCCGAAAAUACUGGACAGCUAGGGAGUGGGAGAGGUACACGGUACUCGAUAGGAAGGGGUAAAAUCCUUUGAUCUAUUGAUGACCACCUGUGGCGAAGGCGGUGUACCAGAACACGUUCGACGGUGAGGGAUGAAAGCUGGGGGAGCAAACCGGAUUAGAUACCCGGGUAGUCCCAGCUGUAAACGAUGCAGACUCGGUGAUGCAUUGGCUUGUGGCCAAUGCAGUGCCGCAGGGAAGCCGUUAAGUCUGCCGCCUGGGAAGUACGUACGCAAGUAUGAAACUUAAAGGAAUUGGCGGGGGAGCACCACAAGGGGUGAAGCCUGCGGUUCAAUUGGAGUCAACGCCAGAAAUCUUACCCGGGGCGACAGCAGAAUGAAGGUCAAGCUGAAGACUUUACCAGACAAGCUGAGAGGUGGUGCAUGGCCGUCGCCAGCUCGUGCCGUGAGAUGUCCUGUUAAGUCAGGUAACGAGCGAGACCCCUGCGUCUAGUUGCUACCAUUCCUCUCUGGAGUAGUGGAGCGAAUUAGACGGACCGCCACAGUUAAUGUGGAGGAAGGAAGGGGCCACGGCAGGUCAGUAUGCCCCGAAACCCUGGGGCCACACGCGGGCUGCAAUGGUAUUGACAAUGUGUUCCGAACCCGAAAGGGGGAGGCAAUCAUCAAACGAUACCUCAGUUAUGACUGAGGGCUGCAACUCGCCCUCACGAAUAUGGAAUCCCUAGUAACUGCGCGUCAUUACCGCGCGGUGAAUACGUCCCUGCUCCUUGCACACACCGCCCGUCGUUUCAUCGAAGUUGGCCUUUAGUGAGGUAGUGUCUAAUUG